AAAUUUUUUUGGUUGCUCGGUAAUCCCWAUUAUCGGGGGUUUUAUUUAUAUUUUAUUAGGUGAAAUUUUAUUUUUUUUUAUAAUGGCUCAUUUAGUUUUUGAUCUACGAAAUUUAAGUAAUAAACUAGGAUUAGAUACCCUAUUAUUUUAAGUGUUAAUUUUUUUACCUGGGUACUAAUAGUUAAGUUCUUUAAACCCAAAGAAUUUGGCGGUAUUUCAUUCCGUUCAGAGGAACCUAUCUUGUAAUUGAUAGUACACGAUUUACUUUACUUAAUUUAUUUGUUUGUAUAUCUCCGUUAUCAGAAAAUCUUUUUGGAGUUAUAAUUUUCUUGUUUUUUUAUUGAGAAUUAUUUCAGGUCAAGGUGCAGCUUAUAAUUAAGUUUUUGACGGGUUACAAUAAUUUUUUAUUAUAUGGAUUUUUUUUUGUAAUAUAUUAAUGAAGGUGGAUUUGAAGGUAAUUUGAUUUAUUUAAUUUAAUUGAUAUUGGCUCUGAAGUG
rnacentral:rRNA from 1 species